rnacentral:rRNA from 1 species
CAGUAGCGUAUAUUAAAGUUGUUGCAGUUAAAAAGCUCGUAGUUGGAUUUCUGACUUCAAACACCUGACCCUCCCUCGCUAGAGGUGUGUGUGCCGGAGUGUUUGUAUCAUCCUUUCAGUGAUCGGUUCUACCCUUAACCGGGUCGGAACUGUUAACUGGAUCUUUUACUUUGAAGAAAUUGGAGUGUUUAAAGCAGGCUUACGCCAGAACAUAUUAGCAUGGAAUAAUAAAAUAGGACUUUGGUUCUAUUUUGUUGGUUUCUAGGACCGAAGUAAUGAUUAAUAGGGACAGUUGGGGGCGAUUCAUAUUCCAAUGUCAGAGGUGAAAUUCUUGGAUUAUCGGAAGAUGAACUUCUGCGAAAGCAUCUGCCAAGGAUGUUUUCAUUGAUCAAGAACGAAAGUUAGGGGAUCGAAGAUGAUUAGAUACCAU